CAGAUCUAAUUUUUUUCUCGGCCAUUUUUUCUCCACCAUUUUUUCUCCGCUGAAGAACUGAUAUCUAGGUUUUCUCUCGCGUCUUCUCUCUGUUACCAUCUCUCCUCUUCUCUCCAUCUACUCCAUCUCAUUUCCGUUUUCAUCUCGUCCAUCUCUUCUCUGUUGAGGGAGAGAGUUAUAAGAAAAAGGUGAUGUUUUUACAGAUUAGAUUAAGGUUUGAAUGAGAAUCGAUGAUGGAGAUAAAGAUCUUGAGUCUGAUUUAGAGAAAUGGAAUGGAAUCAGGGAUCGUUGAUGGUCAUGGUGUCGAUCCGUCUGUUGAUUCAAACUCAACAGAAAUGGGACUAUUGGUGGAGUCAAUGAGGAGCUGAAGACGAUAUGGUGGGUAUGUAGUGAAGCUGUAAUUGUAGCUAGGGAUUCCUGCAUUCGGUACCACUAAACCUUCUUUUCAGAUUUACAUCUUUAUUAUUCUUUUUACAGGUGUGUGAUGAAUUUAGUUACUGUAAAUUUUAACAGAGGUGAAGAUUCCAAAACUCAUGCCUAUAGAUGCUGAAUCCAGAAGGAUUAUUGAUGGGAUGGAAAGCAGUAUAACGAUCUCACUUAAAGAUUUAUACGAAUAUCUUAAUUGGAAUUAUGAUUUCCUAAAGGUUGAUUGUUGUCUUCUUCUGGUUUUUCAGGUGUUUAUGAUGCAUUACAGAAGAAAUACCUAAGAACACUUCUGUUCUGCAUAUCUGAAGCUAUUGAAGGACCUAUAAUAGAAGAAUAUGCGUGGAUGUUAAAUCUCACUUUUCUUUCAUUUGCUAGAUUUAGUCAUUGAUGAUGAGCUGGGGUUGGAUCUGAUUUUUAGUACUCAGGAAAUUGAUAAGAAGUUUAUACUAAUACAUGAAUGGAUUGUGUUGUGCAGUUUCAUUUGGUUAUUCGAGUUCCAACAGCGAAGAUGUUAUGAUGAACAUAAGUCAUACCGGGAACAAGAAACAAGGAGCAACGUUCAGAUCUUAUGGCAAUGCAGACAUUACACCAAAUAAAAUGAGGAGUUCUGCCUACAUUCUUCAUAGGUUGCUCAGAAGAAGAAGCUAACCAUCCAUGGUUGAAAACCCCUCUCAAAAUGGCAAUCGGAAAUGUUAACAGCAAACAUAUCGUCCUGCCUCUCAAGGUCAAAAGUAUCCUGGUACCAUAUCAAGAUGAAAACAAUGACAUCGAAGAUGAUGAAGCGAUCAGCUUGGGUGUUGAUUCAGUGCCAACAACUGAGCCUCCAAAUCCAGAUAGCGAGUGUAUCAAUUUCAAUCUGGUGGUUGUGAUGGAGGAGUCUCAGAUGAAUGACGAGUUUUGGGUUCUCAACAGUAUGAUUCAACUGAGUUUGUGGCUCUGAGAUCUGAAUUUGAGUAAUGGAUGAAACUACAGCUGUGGGUGUUGAUUGAUUGAUAGUUCAGUGAACUAGGAUGGUGUUGAUAUCAGUUUGCAGUUGCAGAUGGAGUAGCAAGGUGAAAUGGCAGGUGCAGCUGGAGCUGAAACGAGUCAGAGAACUGAAUUUCUACAGAAGAAGGGCUCAGAUGGCAUCUCAGAGGAGGAUUGGUAUGUGGUUAUGUUGCAGAAUGUGCUGAGAAUGGUGGUAUUGAACUCAUGGAGGUGAAACUGAAGCGUUGGUGGUGCUGUGUGUUGGCUCAGGAAUGAAUCUAGAUGACUGAGAUGGAGAGUGGGAGACGAAGUGCUGAAUGGCUUGCGAUUGUGUUGUCGUGGCAAACAACAAGAUGAGGUGCAGCUGGGUUGCAAGGAUUGCAGUCAAGAGUUAAGUGGGUUUAUGUGGUUAAUUAGCUAGCAUUGCAAGUCUGGAGUGCAGGACAAGUGUUGAAUUCUGCAAGCAAGAGCUGUUGUUGUUGAACUGAAUGUUAGGGUUGGCAGACUAAUGGAAGUUUGUGUGACUGCAGAAUGAACUUGAGUGGAAGCUUGUAUGUUCUUAAAGCUGCAGCUGAGCUAAAGCUAGAAUUGAAUUGCAGCAGUUGGUGUUUAACUGAUGCUGGUGGUGACUUGGUAAGAAGGCAUGAUGGAGUUGCAGGUGCAGUUGUGCAAAAGUUGGUUUGAGAAGAAGGUAAUGGUGCUGUUACAGCUGACAGCUGAUGUGGAAUGUGUCUUUGCAGUUGAAUAGUAACCCUUAUUAGAUAAAACUCUGCAGAUAACAUGUGUGCGUGGGUCCUUGGAUUUGUAUUGAUGAACUUUUGUUUGUUCUUCUUUUUCAUUAGAUUUCAAUGACAUGAUGCAAGUGUGAAUGAUGCAAUUUUUGGCAAGUAUAAGUUUUUGGUUCAGUGUGAAUGAUGCAAUUUUUGAAAA